UACGGGGGGGGCAAGCGUUGUUCGGAAUUACUGGGCGUAAAGGGCUCGUAGGCGGCCAACUAAGUCAGACGUGAAAUCCCUCGGCUUAACCCGGGAACUGCGUCCGAUACUGGCAGGCUUGAAUCCGGGAGAGGGAUGUGGAAUUCCAGGUGUAGCGGUGAAAUGCGUAGAUAUCUGGAGGAACACCGGUGGCGAAGGCGGCAUCCUGGACCGGCAUUGACGCUGAGGCGCGAAAGCCAGGGGAGCAAACGGG
rnacentral:rRNA from 1 species